rnacentral:rRNA from 1 species
AUUGAACGCUGGCGGAAUGCUUUACACAUGCAAGUCGAACGGUAGAGGGGGCAACCCCUCGAGAGUGGCGAACGGGUGAGUAAUAUAUCGGAACGUGCCCAGUCGUGGGGGAUAACGUAGCGAAAGUUACGCUAAUACCGCAGACGAUCUAAGGAUGAAAGCGGGGGACCGUAAGGCCACGCGCGAUUUGAGCGGCCGAUAUCAGAUUAGGUAGUUGGUGAGGUAAAGGCUCACCAAGCCAACGAUCUGUAGCUGGUCUGAGAGGACGAGCAGCCACACUGGAACUGAGACACGGUCCAGACUCCUACGGGAGGCAGCAGUGGGGAAUUUUGGACAAUGGACGCAAGUCUGAUCCAGCCAUUCCGCGUGCAGGAUGAAGGCCCUCGGGUUGUAAACUGCUUUUGUACGGAACGAAAAGGUCUCUCCUAAUACGAGGGGCUCAUGACGGUACCGUAAGAAUAAGCACCGGCUAACUACGUGCCAGCAGCCGCCGUAA